UUGGCUUAGAAGCAGCCAUCCUUGAAAGAGUGCGUAAUAGCUCACUGGUCAAGUGAUUCUGCGCCGAUAAUGUAGCGGGGCUCAAGUACACCGCCGAAGUUGUGGCAAUGAUCUUUUUGGAUUGUUGGGUAGGGGAGCGUCGUGUGGCCGUUGAAGCUGCGGUGUAAACCAGUGGUGGAGGCUAUGCGAGUGAGAAUGCAGGCAUGAGUAGCGAAAGAUGAGUGAGAAACUCAUCCGCCGGAUGAUCAAGGGUUCCAGGGUCAAGUUAAUCUGCCCUGGGUUAGUCGGGGCCUAAGGCGAGGCCGACAGGCGUAGUCGAUGGAUAACGGGUUGAUAUUCCCGUACCAGUGAAGGACCGUCCAUACUGAUAUUGUGAUGCUAACCAUGCCGAUCACGGUGUCAUGAAGUUUUUCUUUGUGGUGUUGUGGGGUGUGUGGGACCCAAGCUUUGGAGGUAAGCGUGUUAACAGGUGUGACGCAGGAAGGUAGCCAAGCCACGCGAUGGUUGUCGUGGUCUAAGCGUGUAGGGUUGUCGGUUGUUAAAUGCGCCGGCUGUGUGCCUGAGACGUGAUGGGACCCCGUUUUUGGGGGAUUUGGUGAUCCUAUGCUGCCGAGAAAAGCAUCGGCGUGAGGUUUUAGCCGCCCGUACCCUAAACCGACACAGGUGAUCAGGUAGAGAAUACUAAGGCGAUCGAGAGAAUCAUGGUUAAGGAACUCGGCAAAAUGCCCCCGUAACUUCGGGAGAAGGGGGACCUUGAGCGUGAUGGGCACUUGCUGCCUGGAGCGUGUAUGGGUCGCAGAGACCAGGGGGAAGCGACUGUUUAUCAAAAACACAGGUCCGUGCGAAGUCGUAAGACGAUGUAUACGGACUGACUCCUGCCCGGUGCUGGAAGGUUAAGAGGAUUGGUUAGCUCUUUUGGGCGAAGCUGAGAAUUUAAGCCCCAGUAAACGGCGGUGGUAACUAUAACCAUCCUAAGGUAGCGAAAUUCCUUGUCGGGUAAGUUCCGACCUGCACGAAUGGAGUAACGACUUCCCUACUGUCUCAACCAUGAACUCGGCGAAAUUGCAGUACGAGUAAAGAUGCUCGUUUCGCGCAGCAGGACGGAAAGACCCCGUGACCUUUACUAUAGUUUGGUAUUGGUGUUUGGUUUGGCUUGUGUAGGAUAGGUGGGAGACUGUGAAGCAUGGACGCUAGUUUGUGUGGAGUCGUUGUUGAAAUACCACUCUGGUCAAUCUGGAUGUCUAACUUCGGGCCAUGAUCUGGUUCAGGGACAGUGCCUGAUGGGUAGUUUAACUGGGGCGGUUGCCUCCUAAAGUGUAACGGAGGCGCCCAAAGGUUCCCUCAGCCUGGUUGGCAAUCAGGUGUUGAGUGUAAGUGCACAAGGGAGCUUGACUGUGAGACUGGCAGGUCGAGCAGGGACGAAAGUCGGGACUAGUGAUCCGGCGGUACGUUGUGGAACGGCCGUCGCUCAACGGAUAAAAGGUACCUCGGGGAUAACAGGCUGAUCUUGCCCAAGAGUCCAUAUCGACGGCAUGGUUUGGCACCUCGAUGUCGGCUCGUCGCAUCCUGGGGCUGGAGUCGGUCCCAAGGGUUGGGCUGUUCGCCCAUUAAAGCGGUACGCGAGCUGGGUUCAGAACGUCGUGAGACAGUUCGGUCCCUAUCCGCUGCGCGCGUUGGAAAUUUGAGAAAGGCUGUCCUUAGUACGAGAGGACCGGGACGGACGAACCUCUGGUAUGUCAGUUGUACCGCCAGGUGCAUGGCUGAUUGGCUACGUUCGGGAGGGAUAACCGCUGAAAGCAUCUAAGCGGGAAGCCUGUUUCGAGAUGAGAUUUCCUGGCACUUUGG
rnacentral:rRNA from 1 species